rnacentral:rRNA from 1 species
GAAUUUUGGCCAAUGGGCGAAAGCCUGAUCCAGCAAUGCCGCGUGCAGGAUGAAGGCCUUCGGGUUGUAAACUGCUUUUUUACGGAACGAAAAGCUUUGGGUUAAUACCCUGGAGUCAUGACGGUACCAUCAGAAUAAGCACCGGCAACCUACUUGCCAUCCGCCGCGGUAAUACGGAGGGUGCAAGCGUUAAUCGGAAUUACUGGGCGUAAAGCGUGCGCAGGCGGUUUUGUAAGACAGAGGUGAAAUCCCCGGGCUCAACCUGGGAACUGCCUUUGUGACUGCAAGGCUAGAGUACGGCAGAGGGGGGUGGAAUUCCGCGUGUAGCGGUGAAAUGCGUAGAUAUGCGGAGGAACACCGAUGGCGAAGGCAACCCCCUGGGCCUGUACUGACGCUCAUGCACGAAAGCGUGGGGAGCAAAC